AAUGAACGUUGGCGGCGUGGAUUAGGCAUGCAAGUCGUACGGACCAUGGUAGCAAUAUUAUGGUUAGUGGCGCAAGGGAGAGUAAUACGUAGGUAUUUACCCUGGGGUCUGGGAUAGCGGCGGGAAACUGCCGGUAAUACCAGAUGAUAUCUCCGGAUCAAAGGUGUGAUUCCGCCCUAGGAGAAGCCUGCGGUCUAUCAGCUAGUUGGUAGGUUAACGGCCUACCAAGGCAAAGACGGAUAUGGGGCGUGAGAGCGUGCCCCCACUCACUGGGACUGAGACACUGCCCAGACACCUACGGGUGGCUGCAGUCGAGAAUCUUCGGCAAUGGGCGCAAGCCUGACCGAGCGACGCCGCGUGCGGGAUGAAGGCCUUCGGGUUGUAAACCGCUGUCGAAGGGGAGGAAAUGCUAGUGGGUUCACCCAUUAGUUUGACCGAUCCUUGGAGGAAGGGCCGGCUAAUCUCGUGCCAGCAGCCGCGGUAAGAC
rnacentral:rRNA from 1 species